AGAUAUGAUCUGACCCCUGAAGUAAUUCAAGGAAGAAAGAUAAACUUUCUAUUAAAAUUAAUAUUAUAAUUGUAGAAAAUUGAUUUUAAGUAACAAAUAUUUAAGAGCGAUGUCGGCUUAGCUUAUCCACAUGAAUGCAGGAGUCAUGAAGGGUGAGACUGUUCGUCUAUUAAAGAGCUACACGAGCUGGGUUAAAUACGUCGUAAGACAGUAUGGUUUCUAUCUUCUAGAGGAAAUUAGAGUAAAAUAAGGAGAGCCCCUUCGUACGAAAGGAGUUGGGUACGUUAACCUAUGGUUUACCUGUUGUUGUUUUUUAUAUAUAUAUAUAUGCUCAAUAUUAAGGCAUUGUACGGGUAUGUUAUAGUAUACAUUAUAAAGGUGUAUAUAGGGCUUUUACUUUUCACUAUAGUAAAAAAAAAGUCUAGGCAUGGCAGGAAGGCUAAGUUAGCUAAUGAUAAAUGCUGAAUGCAUAUAGGCAUGAAACUUACCUUAAGAUACUCUUUAAUUUACGUAGUUUAACACUACGAUUUUUUUUUAUCUCAAGAUCUUAAUAACCUACAUAAUGUUAAGAUAUUGAUAUAUUAAUGAAUAGGCUUUAGCUGUAAGGAUUUUAAUUUUUUAAGGCAUUAAGUACUAAUUUUUUAAUUUACUGAACAAU
rnacentral:ncRNA from 1 species